AUUAUCAGCAGACAAUAUAAAUGUAUUUAUUAUUCAUAAAAUUAGGCAAAUCCAGCCAUAAAGACGCAAUGAAUGAAUAAACAAUAGCUUCCAGUGAAAGUUACAACCCAUAACUCCGAAGUCCAAAAUGUGACAAUGUCUCACAAAUACACUUACUACAAAGUUGAAUCUCUCGAUCAUUGCUCAUGGCGGGAAGUCGUUAAUGUCAAUGUUUUAAGAUGCGAGGCAAGGAGAGUGGCCAGAAUGAAAGAACUUGGUUAGGUAGAUGUAUUAAAAAAAAAAAAAAAAGUCUGAGA